ACGGCCCUGACUGAAGACCAGCAGUUAAACUACAGCUGUUUGGUUUCAAGCAGAGGCCCAAAGGACUGUCUUCCUGUGAUCUGCCGGCUGUUCUGGAACCUCAGCAGAGAAUGGCUGUUUCAUUUGGAAGAAACAACC
ensembl:snoRNA SNORA2C small nucleolar RNA, H/ACA box 2C